UCCCUGGUUGCUCAGAUGGUAAAGCAUCUGCCUACAAUGUGGGAGACCCUGGCUCGAUCCCUGGCUUGGGAA
rnacentral:tRNA from 1 species